GAAAGAAAAAAGUAAAAAGAAAGAAAGAGAAAGGUAACACAACGCAAUGGACGCUGUUUCUUAUUUCUUAGUCCAGCAGACAUGAAUUCGUGAGGAAGAGGCCGGGACUUUUCCCUCUCAUCUUAUCUGACCCAGAAUCAGCGAGCCACAAGCCUGAGCCGACCUGGGCCUCAUGGACUCCUGGCCACCCCACACCUUUCUUUAUUCCACACCCUCUGUCCAGACUUUCAGUGGAGACAGAGGAAGAAGAGAGAGGGAGGCAGAGACGCACACACACACAGAAAGCGAGAAUGUUUGGAAUGGAGAGCGGUUUUCCUAAGGGCUGCUUUUGCUGGCGCCCAGGCCUCAGUUCAUUUCAUUUCCAAGCCAAAUAUUACAAAUCCUCGGGCGGCCCGGCAGGGAGGAGCGGCCUUUCCGAUGCGGCAACCUGCCUGCGCCUUUCCCUGCGGUGCCCUCCUUCUCUGCUCUUUCUGCAAAAGGAAAACUUGGGGCCCUGGGAAGGAGUGGGAGCCAGCCACAGCCCAGGGCGUCCCAAGAGGUGCUCUGGCGUAGGUUUCGGCCCCGGGUGGGGGGGCAUCGCCUGCCGCCGUCCCCCUUACCCGGGUUCCAAAUACGGAAGCUGGACGCGCCUCUGAGCGGCUCCAGGCCUCGCCCCGCGCGGAACCCGAGAGGAGGCUCGCUACCUCGGGUUACCCUGCAGUCCGGGGGGGCUGGACCGAGGCUGGGGCUCCGGUACUGCACCCAACGCCGCACCAGCCCGCGGGGGAGCCAAGAGCUCUCGGACAGGCUGGCCUGCCCCGGCCCUCAGUCGCCGCAAGGUCCCUCCAGGCCCGGGAAGCCGCGAUCGGCGCGCAGUGGCUCCCUGCGCGAGUUACCUGCCUUCCUUCGGCAGCUACCGGGGCGGGGCGAGGCGGGCUCCCGGAUGGGAAUGAAGAAAGCGCGGCCGGCCGGCUCCCUUCGAGAACGAAAACUACGGUUGCAGGGCGUCAGGAGCUCCUUACCUAUCCUCUCCCCGCCCAGUGUCCGAUCCUCCGCAGCAGUAACUGCCGCCUCCCCCUCCACCCCGGUUGCAAAGGCCAACUCCGGGAUGGAUAGUCAAGAUCUUAAUUAGGAAGGGUGGGUGGAGGUGACGAAAAACACAAGAGAAAUGUAAGCACUCUCUCUGCCUCUUAAAGUGACUGAAAAACAAUCGGAGGCAAACAGCCUCCUGGGAG